rnacentral:lncRNA from 1 species
UUCAUCACCCCUUGUAUAUUAAAUUCUGGAAGAACAUAAAGCAGUACUCUACAAUUUCUUGUUAGCUAUGGUGUUAAUACUUGUGUCUUGAAACUACAGGUACAUCCUGGAGGGCAAGGAGCUGGAGUUCUACAUGAGGAAGCUCCAGAAGAAGAAGGGCAAGGGUGCCACAGCUUAGGCUGAAGAGCUGCUGCAUGUUACUCGUUGGAUUUUCUUAGAUGUUGCGUCCAUGUCAUGUUUGCAGACAUACUGAACACCAUUUUCUGUAAACGGUUCGAGUCCUAGGUUGAACUGAGAAUGUUUUGCCUGUUUUGGUUGUGAUCUAAAGCUAUCCAGAUUCUAUUAUGUGUUCUACCUUGCAGUAUUUUCAUCUGUUCAGUGAAGUUUUGAUCUUGAGUCUCCAUGUUGAUUUGCUGCCAGCUUUGCCUUUCAGGCAUGUUAGAUUUGUAUGGUUCCUGCAGUUGCAAAGGACCCAUCCAGUGUGAAAACCCGAUCAUGUAUGCAAAGCAAUUUUGAUCAUGGAAUCUGCACAAUUGUUGGCUAUUUUUCUUUCUGGAGAUAGACGAUGACUAGCCGCUACCCCAGCCUGUGCUAAUUCUCGGUAGUGUAGGCGCUUUGCGCGGCUCUCCAUGCCUUUGUAUUCGGUGGUUUUCAUUUUCUGUUACAGGAUUUCUCGCUGCCUCUGGAGUCUGUCAAAAGUGUUACACCUAUUAAAUCCUGUUGUCAGAGCUUUGGUUGUUCAUGUGUCAAGCCUUGUGUGCCCAUUCUUUUUGAAGGUGGUUGAGAGAAACACUUGAGAAGAACUAUCACUGAAGGAAGAUAGCUAUGGAGGGGAGAUCUAGAGAGGUAGUCUUCUCCAAAUUAUUAGAGAUGGAAGUCUUGAAUCCUUGAUGGAUCUUCUCCAAAGGAGGCCAUUUCCAAUUAAGUUAUCGAUGAGCAAAGCCAAGUAAUUCUAUUAUGCUUUCAUAACACAAAAAAAAAAGA